UUAAUUUUCUUCUUUUUUUUAACCACAUACAGGUUGGAAUUAUUUUAACUGAGUAACUGAGUCCAACCUGUGCAAUUACAGCCUUUUCUGCCAGGCUGAAGUUGCCAAAAGUUUAUGCCACGUAGAGUAAUUAGCAAUAAAUGACACUGCAGCUCACAUCAGGUAACAUGUACCUGGGUCCUGGGCUGGGUGAUUGAAAUACACAGGAGCGGGGAUGAGGCGUGAGGGCGCGUCUGGCAGCAUCGAUCCGCACCGGCCAGUCAGUUCUCAUCAGAGGGUCCUGACAAGGGGCUAAUAGCUUUUUCUGAAGAUCCAAUCCUAUUUUCCAGGCAGCGGCCGGUGUUGUGCCGCCUGGGAUAACAUCUGCUCCGGGUAGCAUCGAUCGGACGGGGGCACGUGUGUCCCCCCAGUGCUGGGUCCCGGCAGCUUUAUCUGGAUGUAUAAUUUUGGUGAAGGGGAAAACUCAAAUUCCAUCUAAAACCCAUCACCUGGGCUAAUAAUUUACAUCUGAAUUAGUACAACCAGGGAAAGAAUUUCGGUCUACUGGUCACUGAGAAUUUAAACUGGCCUUGUCCUGUUUCCAGAGUCAGAGGUGGAAGUGAUCCCUGCAGCAACUCCAAGUCUCUCCUGGAAACCUGUGUACACGCCUCCCUUGGGGCCAGCACCUCACUGCCUCUGAGCACCACAGCUGCGACAGGUUGGCAGCAGCUCCUCAGAAUGGGACCUGCACGGGAAUCUCAAUGAGAUGGAAAAGCAUCAGAAAACAGCCUCUUACAAUGGAAAUGAGCUCCAGCCCAGUCACAGCAUCCCAGGGACAUCAUCCAUCCCCAUGCUCCCACACAGGUGAUGCUCCCGAGACAGCUCUCAUGUGUCCCACCACAGGAGGCAUCGUUCCAAGAAGGAAAAGUGAGAGACAGAAACUUUUACACAGAAACUUCAGCGCCUGUGCUGGGCCCAGCUGGGAAAUCCACCCGAUGGAGAGAAGCUGCAGGGCAGAGAGAUCUCCAGCAUGAGAGAGGCAGUGGCUGCAGUGCACAGAGGGGUAGCCAGGAGAAGACAGGCACCAAGCUGGAGCCCCCCAGUCCCUGCAGCUGGAUUACACCAGGCCAUAAGGAAAAAGGUGCGGAUUAUUCUGGGGUACAGGUGACAGCAGAGCCCACAUUACUCCAGAUCUCACCAGCUUCAGUCUAAUGAUUUCUCUGGGGACCAGGCUGUUCCAUGUGCUGGCACACAUGUGCCUUCUCUGUCCCCAAAGAUGCCACAUGGAACAAAUUCAUGGCCUUUGUGGUGGACACUCAUUAGACACAUCAUUAAACAAAGCCAUAAUGGCUUUAGAGAGCAGCGCCGUCUCAUCUC